UACGUAGGGUGCAAGCGUUGUCCGGAAUCAUUGGGCGUAAAGGGCGCGUAGGCGGCCCGGUAAGUCAAAGGUGAAAUCCCUCGGCUCAACUGAGGAACUGCCUUUGAAACUGUCGGGCUUGAGGCCGGGAGGGGGUGGCGGAAUUCCCAGUGUAGCGGUGAAAUGCGUAGAUAUUGGGAGGAACACCAGUGGCGAAGGCGGCCACCUGGACCGGUUCUGACGCUGAUGCGCGAAAGCGUGGGUAGCAAACAGG
rnacentral:rRNA from 1 species